UGACCGAAACACCUCAAGUCAUCCGUAAAGGUGAAGAACGAUUGUUAGUUUAAGGAAUUAUUAAGGAAAAUUGGAAGAUUCGCUAGUGUGCUGCGAGGAAGCGAAAAAUAAGGUAAACCUCAAAAUUAGGACCGGACUUGGCAUUCGGAGAAUCACCUUGGACCUCGAACUAUUUUUAAUAAGUAUUAAUAAGUUUCUGUUGGUUUUGGUUUGUAAUUUUUAAUG